rnacentral:lncRNA from 1 species
CAAAUGUGAAUAUCUGUAAAAAUAAAUUAAACUAAUGAAAAAACAUAGUUACCUACAUUACCUACAUUACAAAAUAACGUCAACAUAAAAUAAUGUCACAGUAAUAAAAAUGGGAAUAGAAACUUUCUGCUCUUUUUUUGCAGUCCUAUAUUUAAGUUCGUUUAUACAUCGCUAAAUGUGUCCAGGUCUUUGCGGUAUUAUGUGCCUCUACUUCAGCAGAUACCUCCAUGGUUUCUGUAUGCUGUCGACUUGCCUAUCAUUAAUAAUUACUGUGUUAUGCCUAUCUUUGUAUAUUUGGAUGUUUUCUGCUGUGUACAGCUCAUCGAUGUUGGUUAUUUGUUUGGUCACUUUACUUUCCUCCCACCUUAUACUUGCAUUACU